rnacentral:tRNA from 1 species
GAUGGUGUAGCUCAGCAGGAUAGAGCAGCAGCCUUCUAAGCUGUCGGUCGGUGGUUCGAAUCCACCCACCAUCGCCA